rnacentral:rRNA from 1 species
CCUACGGGAGGCAGCAGUGGGGAAUCUUAGACAAUGGGCGCAAGCCUGAUCUAGCCAUGCCGCGUGUGUGAUGAAGGCCUUAGGGUCGUAAAGCACUUUCGCCAGGGAUGAUAAUGACAGUACCUGGUAAAGAAACCCCGGCUAACUCCGUGCCAGCAGCCGCGGUAAUACGGAGGGGGUUAGCGUUGUUCGGAAUUACUGGGCGUAAAGCGCACGUAGGCGGAUCAGAAAGUUGGGGGUGAAAUCCCGGGGCUCAACCCCGGAACUGCCUCCAAAACUCCUGGUCUUGAGUUCGAGAGAGGUGAGUGGAAUUCCGAGUGUAGAGGUGAAAUUCGUAGAUAUUCGGAGGAACACCAGUGGCGAAGGCGGCUCACUGGCUCGAUACUGACGCUGAGGUGCGAAAGUGUGGGGAGCAAACAGGAUUAGAUACCCUGGUAGUCCACACCGUAAACGAUGAAUGCCAGUCGUCGGGCAGUAUACUGUUCGGUGACACACCUAACGGAUUAAGCAUUCCGCCUGGGGAGUACGGUCGCAAGAUUAAAACUCAAAKGAAUUGACGG